rnacentral:rRNA from 1 species
CCUACGGGAGGCAGCAGUGGGGAAUAUUGCACAAUGGCGGGAACCCUGAUGCAGCGACGCCGCGUGAGUGAAGAAGUAUCUCGGUAUGUAAAGCUCUGUCAGCAGGGAAGAAGUAAGACGGUACCUGACCAAGAAGCCCCUGCUAACUACGUGCCAGCAGCCGCGGUAAUACGUAGGGGGCAAGCGUUAUCCGGAUUUACUGGGGGUAAAGGGAGCGUAGACGGCAGGGCAAGGCUGGAGUGGAAGUCAGGGGCACAACCCCUGGACUGCUCUGGAAACUGUCCGGCUGGAGUGCAGGGGAGGUAAGUGGAAUUCCUAGUGUAGCGGUGAAAUGCGUAGAUAGUAGGAGGAACACCAGUGGCGAAGGCGGCUUACUGGACUGUAACUGACGUUGAGGCUCGAAAGCGUGGGGAGCAAACAGGAUUAGAUACCCCAGUAGUC